AGUGAACGCUGGCGGCAGGCCUAACACAUGCAAGUCGAGCGGCAGCGGGGGGGCAACCCUGGCGGCGAGCGGCGGACGGGUGAGGAAUUCGUCGGAAUCUGCCUUUUUGUGGGGGAUAACGUAGGGAAACUUACGCUAAUACCGCAUACGUCCUACGGGAGAAAGUGGGGGACCGCAAGGCCUCACGCAGAAAGAUGAGCCGACGACCGAUUAGCUAGUUGGUGGGGUAAAGGCCCACCAAGGCGACGAUCGGUAGCUGGUCUGAGAGGAUGAUCAGCCACACUGGGACUGAGACACGGCCCAGACUCCUACGGGAGGCAGCAGUGGGGAAUAUUGGACAAUGGGCGCAAGCCUGAUCCAGCCAUGCCGCGUGUGUGAAGAAGGCCUUCGGGUUGUAAAGCACUUUUGUCCGGAAAGAAAUCCCUGGAGCUAAUACCUUCGGGGGAUGACGGUACCGGAAGAAUAAGCACCGGCUAACUUCGUG
rnacentral:rRNA from 1 species